GAGCCCAUUGGGACCACAGAGCCCCAUUGACCCCAUAGAAACCACAGAGCCCCACUGAUCCUAUAGAUCCCAUAGGGACCACAGAGCCCCAUUGACCCCAUUGACCCCAUAGAAACCACAGAGCCCCACUGAUCCUAUAGAUCCCAUAGGGACCACAGAGCCCCAUUGACCCCAUUGACCCAUAGGGACCUCAGAGCCCCACUGACCCCAUUGAUCCCAUAGGGACCACAGAGCCCCACUGACCCCAUUGAUCCCAUAGGGACCACAGAGCCCCACUGACCCCAUUGAGCCCAUAGGGACCACAGAGCCCCAUUGAUCCCAUUGACCCCAUAGAAACCACAGAGCCCCACUGAUCCUAUAGAUCCCAUUGGGUCCACAGAGCCCCAUUGACCCCAUUGACCCAUAGGGACCACAGAGCCCAUAGAGUCCCAUGGAGCCCCAUUGAGCCCAUAGGGACCCCAUAACUGCCCCAUAGUGACCUCAUAGAGCCGCAUAGUGACCCCAUAACUGUCCCAUAGAGACCCCAUAGAGCUCCACAGUGACCCCAUAGAGCCGCUUAGUGACCCCAUAACUGCCGCAUAGAGACCCCAUAACUGCCCCAUAGUGACCCCAUAGAGUUCAUAGUGAUGUCAUAACUGAUGCAUAGAGACCCCAUAACAGCCCCUUAGAGACCCCAUAGAGGUCCUUAGAGACCCCAUAACAGCCCUAUAGUGACCCCAUAGACCUUCAUAGUGACCCAUAGAGCUCCAUAGUGACCUCAUAGAGCCGCAUAGUGACCCCAUAACUGCCCCAUAAUGACCCCAUAACAGCCCCUUAGAACCCCCAUAGAGCUCCAUAGAGACCCCAUAACAGCCCCAUAUUGACCCCAUAGACCACCAUAGUGGCCCCAUAACAGCCCCAAUGUGACCCCAUAGAGCUCUGUAGUGACCCCAUAACAGCCCCAUAGUCACCCCAUAGAGCUCCAUAGUGACCCCAAAACAGCCCCAUAGUCACCCCAUAGAGCUCCAUACUGACCCCAUGACUGGGGUCACUAUGGGGCUGUUAUGGGGUCAUUAUGGGAUGUUAUGGGAUCAAUAUGAGGCAGCUAUGGGGUCACUAUGGGGUGGUUAUGGGGUCACUAUCAGGCAGUUAUAGGGUAACUAUGGGGCAGUUUUAGGGUCACUAUGGGGCUGUUAUGGGGUCACUAUGGGGCAGUUAUGGGGUCAUUCUGGAGCAGUUAUGGGGUCAUUAUGGGGCAGUUAUGGGGUCUUUAUGGGGCUGUUAUGGGGUCUCUAUGGGGCUGUUGUGGGGUCACUGUGGGGCUCUUAUGGGGUCACUAUGGGGCUGUUAUGGGGUCACAUUGGGGCAGUUAUAGGGUCACAAUGGGGCUGUUAUGGGGUCACUGUGGGGCUGUUAUGGGGUCACUAUGGGGCAGUUAUGGGGUCAUUCUGGAGCAGUUAUGGGGUCAUUCUGGGGCAGUUAUGGGGUC
ensembl:lncRNA